CGCUCCUCCCUUUGCUCUUGUUGCUUUUGCUGUUUUCCACUGCCAUGAAUUACUGUCCUCAGCCCUGCCACCCUGCCUUGGAACCAGCAGCUUAUGGACUGAAACCUCCACAAACUGUGAGUGUGCAAUGAGUUAGUGCAUCGAAGCAAAACAGACUGGGUCUCCACCAAAGAUACUGGGAGAAGCACUUCCCGGGCCAUUCUAGCCUCGAAUCCCAAACUUGUCACCCCCGCAGUAGGUGACAUUCUGAGCGCGAUGUUCACAGAUUUAACAAGCAGGGAUCUUUGUGAACGGAGCCCAGGCUGUGUGGAGCCAGCAGUCUUUGUCCUGACCUCAGUUUCUAGGGUGGUGUGAAGGAACCCCACCCCAUCUGCCUGCCAGCACUGGCCUUCCCAUGGUUGGGGGACGUUUUCUUUCUUUGCUCAAGAGUGAGUUGCAGUGAUGAAAAUAGAUUUCCCUGCUCCCUACCCCACCCCAAGAAGAUAAGGGAAGUGAUUCCACGGUGUCCUGGGAGGAUGCUGCGGAUGGGGUGCUGAGGAUUCAUGAUGCUGUCCUCUGAGCGUGUGGCUGCUUCUGGCCCAGCAGUUGGGAUGCAGUAGUGGCUUUGUCAUUGUUCACUGAAUGAGACUUUUUAAGGAGCAAAAUUGUGUCUUGGAGAAGGCAUCACAGGAGUGCAGCUGGAGCAGCACCCUUCCAGGGGAGCUGGGACACCAGCCUGCUCUGCCCUUUUGAGUCUAAGUAGAGCCCCGCAUCCUUCACUGAGUCCUGCGGAUUCAUCACCUGGAAACGCAUUCUGUGUCAGGUCAGGGAGAAAGCAAGGGAAACUCAGAGCCUUCGCACACCGGACCUCACACUUCGGAGCAGCGGCACAGCCUGAGACAUUGAACUCUUCUUUGCCUCUCAGCCUCCACACUUGUGCAGAGGUGCAGCAAGCCCUUGGGAGCUCCUGUGGAACUUUUCAAGCUGCAGAAGUCUUCUCUCCUUGCCUCGCGGUUAGGAACGUGUGCACCAGCCAAGAAGAAGGUCCUUGUGAGGUCUCACAGCUGAGAUGUUAGGGUCAUCCUUCCAAGUGAGCAGAAGCUUUUGGGGUGCUUAAGGAAUAACCCCUGCACAUGCCAACAGCCAGAAAGUCUCACAGGAGGAUGACCCAGUGGAGCCGGAGAACCCAGACUUAUGAUCAAGGACACAGGUCCCAGCUGAACUGGAGACUUGCAGAAUUUGCGAAGUGCUAACGGAGGUUUCCCUGUAGCGAUGGUUGCUAUCCAGUCUGUAACCAGGACUCCUGUACAGAUGUGCUGUGAUAAAAACACCGUGUAUCCUGCCAUCAGCUCUUCUUCGGGGUCUCAUGUGUCUUUGUGCUUCAGCUUGGCAGAGGUCAUUGCCAAGAAAGCACUUUCUAUUCCUUAACUGAUGGACAUUCAAAGCGCAUUCCAUAUUCCAGUUCCACAGCCCUGGCAAACAGCAUGCAGCUCACCCUGGGAACCCUGAGAUCUCUGAUGUGGCUUGUCUUCAUCACAAGCCAUCUCUGUGCUUCAAAUUGGGCAAUUCUUUCUCCAUUGAGUUUUGGCUGUGGAGAGUGCUGUCCAAGGAAAUGACCCCCGGCCAGGUUCCCUGCCUCCUGAUUGAUGAGCAGACGCCAGCACUAGGAAUAGAAUGGAGAACAUGACAGGUGUCAACGGCACAACCCAAUCUGGAAGAGAAGAGGAGGGGAAGUGAGUCCAGCUGCAUGCUGGGAAGCCACAGGACAGAAGGUGGAAGCAGGCUGAGGGCAGGAGGAAGCCUAAGGGAAGGUGACAUCCGAGCCAAGUCCAAAUGGACAAGUCGCGGUCACAUGGAUCAGCAUCUCCUCGCUGUUGCAGGGAAGGACCGCCACCUCCUGAGCAGAGAAUUCAGCUCUUCGGUUGUCUGGCCCCUACGUCUUUCUGUGGCCUCAUCUUCCAUGCACCUCUGCGGUGACAAGCACUCCAGACUCUGCUGCCUCGGAGCCUCAAUUCUGACCUCUUUCCUCCAGAGUCUUCCCUUUCUAGUUACUGAUCCCCUUUUCAUCUUUGAGCCCACCGUGAAGCCUUCCCAGGUUUCUCAGGUCACAAUCCAUCUCUCUUUUUGGCUUACCGGGAGGGUGGGAGCCUGGGCCUCGGGCUUCAUUCUGUCCAUGUUUAUCUCCUUCCGAUGAUGACCCCAGCAGACUAGGAACCACAUUUUAUUCAGAUUGCAAUGUCUCAGUGCUGCUGGUAAAUGAAUGUAAGUAUGAAUCAAUGAAUUAGUAUCAAUGAAUCAAAGUAUGAAUCAAUGAAAUGA